UCAGCCCGCUGACCUGACCUGGGCCUCUCUAUCUUGACCCUGGUGUUGGCCUUGAUUAGCCUCUGACUUUCUUAUUUUAUUCAUUAGUUUUUGCUGUUUUCUUACGGUGGCACUGGACCUUGUCUGUACUAGGAUCUCUCUAUGUAGUCCUGUCUAUCCUGAAACUUGCUAUGUAGACCAGGCUGGCUUGAAACCCUCAGAGAUCCACCUGCCUGUCUCAACCUCCUAAAUACUGAAUUAAAGGUUCCUGAAGGUUACGAAAAAAAAAAAAAAAAAAACCACUCAACACAUUCCAACUAUUGAGAUUUUCAGGAUACACUAAUCUUAACAUCUCUGGGGCCAGGCCAAACAACACGGGCUUUGAUCUAACAGGGACCAUCAACUCACAGCUUCCAGCCCGCCUCCUCUCUAGAUCUAGGUUGUCAACCCUACCUGACCAGUACCCAACUUUGCACAUCUGUCAAUCUUCUCCAACCUGGAUCGUGACACCCUCCUUUCCCCAAGCUGGAGUCCGUCCACCACCC
rnacentral:lncRNA from 1 species